CCGAAACUCUAGGAUUAUAAGUUCUUUAGUUCAGAAUUUAAAUAUUAAAAGGGCAUUUAUAUUAAAAAAGAUCUUAAGUACAGAAAUUGUAAAUCGGCUAGAGUCAUAUCUGAUUAAAAGUACUGAAUUUCAUGAUUCCUUUCCCACGUAAAUCGUGGGAAAUGUAGUUUUAGCUUAGAGUAUUAAUAAAUUCAUUGUUUAAGAUGAGAGGUGUCUAAAAUUAAUUGAGUGUUAUAACUUUAGUUAAUCAAAAUAAUGCUAAAUAUAUUAACUUUGAAAUCAACUUAUAAUUUAUACUGAUAGAAUUAGUAUACUAAAUAAAACCAUGGGAACUCGAUAUUUUUACAACUGUUUAUCAAAAACAUCUCCUUUAGUAAAUAAUUAAAGGUAAGACCUGCUCAAUGUUAUGUAUUAAUAGCUGCGGUAUCUUAACUGCACAAAGGUAGCAUAAUUAAUUGUCUUUUAAAUGGUGACGGGUUUGAAAGGUUUAAUGAGAGAAAUAAUAUCCUUGGUUUAAUUAUAAAUUAUAUUUAGAGGUUAAAAUACCCUUUUAUAUAAGAAAGACGAGAAGACCCUGUUGAGUUUUACAAAUAUAUAAAUAUUUGUUUUGAUGGGAAAUUUGGAUUCUAAUUGAAUACUUUGUUGAUCCUGGAAAUAAUUUCUGGAAAAAGGAUUAAAUUACCGCAGGGAUAACAGGACUAUAUUUACUGAGAGUUCUUAUUGAAGUAAAUGAUUGUUACCUCGAUGUUGAAUCGAAAAUUACUCACCGACGCAGCAGUUGGCUAAGAGUAGGUCUGUUCGACCUGUAGAUUUUCACGUGAUUUGAGUUAAGACCGGCGUGAGCCAGGUUGGUUUCUAUCUUCUUUUGUUUUUUUACUGUACGAAAGGAACUAAAAAA
rnacentral:rRNA from 1 species